CUUCCGUAACUUAAUCCCUCUCACAACCGCUCCCGCCGCCAAAUUCACCUGCACCGAACUCGCCACCGCUUUGCGCAAGGAGCAGGAAGUGGUGAACCUGAGGCUGCAAAGUAAGAAAAGGCAUUUUGCAGGCACGAGGAAGAGAGAUAGCCAAGGUUCUAUUGAUUGGAAUUUUGAAAGGAACGCUGGCAGUAACAAUGAGACACAAAC